ensembl:snRNA U6 U6 spliceosomal RNA
CCAGGUUAUUUGCUUUGAACUGGAUUAUAUGAGUCUCCACUGCCAGAGGAGAUUAGCAUGGCCCCUGUGCAAGGAUGACACACAAAUUUGUGAAGCGUUCCAUAUUUUU